UACGUAGGGUGCAAGCGUUGUCCGGAAUUAUUGGGCGUAAAGAGCUCGUAGGCGGUCUGUCACGUCGGCUGUCAAAUCCCGAGGCUCAACCUCGGGUCUGCAGUCGAUACGGGCAAACUAGAGUAUUGCAGGGGAGACUGGAAUUCCUGGUGUAGCGGUGAAAUGCGCAGAUAUCAGGAGGAACACCGGUGGCGAAGGCGGGUCUCUGGGCAAUAACUGACGCUGAGGAGCGAAAGCGUGGGGAGCGAACAGG
rnacentral:rRNA from 1 species